ACGAACGCUGGCGGCGUGCUUAACACAUGCAAGUCGAACGGAAAGGCCCUGCUUUUGUGGGGUGCUCGAGUGGCGAACGGGUGAGUAACACGUGAGUAACCUGCCCUUGACUUUGGGAUAACUUCAGGAAACUGGGGCUAAUACCGGAUAGGAGCUCCUGCUGCAUGGUGGGGGUUGGAAAGUUUCGGCGGUUGGGGAUGGACUCGCGGCUUAUCAGCUUGUUGGUGGGGUAGUGGCUUACCAAGGCUUUGACGGGUAGCCGGCCUGAGAGGGUGACCGGCCACAUUGGGACUGAGAUACGGACCAGACUCCAACGGGAGGCAGCAGUGGGGAAUAUUGCACAAUGGGCGGAAGCCUGAUGCAGCAACGCCGCGUGCGGGAUGACGGCCUUCGGGUUGUAAACCGCUUUCGCCUGUGACGAAGCGUGAGUGACGGUAAUGGGUAAAGAAGCACCGGCUAACUACGUG
rnacentral:rRNA from 1 species